CGACCCCGCGAUCCGUAGACCGACGCUGUACCUACUGAGCUAAGCGGGCGGGUUCUAGAUAAUGUUGGAAUAACUUUUUGCCCAACCCAUUUAUAUGUAUUUGAUUUAAUGCUUAUAUCAAAUUUGAUGUAUGCAUAUAAGAAAAUAUAAAAUAUUAUUAAACAAACAAGGCAAAGUAUUCAGUGGAAUUUUAUUUAUAAAAUAUCUGAAAAACUACUCUCUCUUUUUAAUAAAUCUGUUAAAUUUAUACAUUUGAUAAGUGUACGUUAAAAGAGCCUAGACUGAUUCAAUCAUACGAGAAGUUCAUCCUUUGCUAAACACCCUUCAUGAAAAACAAAUAAUUAAGUUUCUAAUAGAAACAAAAGCUGCCUGAUGACAUUGCGCUCGGCUUUUCACAGUGCCUGACUGAAAUAUUUUGCAAGUCAAUUCUUCAUCAAACUUUAAACAAAAAAUUCUAAGUUAAAACGAGGCAUUCCUCUAUUGUGUACAAUCAAUGUUACUUGUAAUGUGAUUUGAAAUAUUACGUCUUUGCAGUUUAUUUAGCUACAGUCGUUUUAUCUUUAUUAUAAUUUUUAAGUUAUUCAAUUAUUAAACGCAUGAAAUACAUUUAUUAUUAUUGUAACUUGUACAAUUAUGAACAUAUAAAUAAUUUAUAGCAAUUCUUCGUUCAAUAGCUUGCAUUUUGCAGUGAAUAUACUCAUAUUUCAGAAAAAGUUAAUGUUGAUAAGCUUGAUAAAACAAUAGCAAUUAUUGUCUAAACAUCAAGUCGUGAGUCAUGCUGUUUGAUUACCCCAUUAAUCUUUAAGAUUCUAAAUCUUUCUGUUUGAAUAGCUUCAUAAAUUUGACCUGCUCUUCCGUUGUUGAAUUUUCUCACGUUGAAAUCAUUUCCAGUGUAACUGAACAAACACAAAAUUAGUGCCACGCUCCUGUUAAAAGAUUUAUUAGUCUUUGAACUGAAAGUUCAGUUGUGAAAAGAAAUCGCUUAGGCUGAGUUGUCUUGGUAGAAAACAAAUAGGAUUGGACAUGGAAUAAAUACAGCAUUUGAUUAGUAUACGAAACAUUCAUAUAUCGAUCCUGUAACCAGGUAACUUUCGUGAUAAUAAUAUUAACAAAAUGUAUUAAAGUGUGAAUGUAGAUUUUAAAAUGAGGAGCUUUAAACCCCUUUCGUGUAAUGAAAAGACUAUCUUGUGUGACAGUUUUGGACUCGUUUGUGUUGCAGAACAAUCUGAUAUUACUGGAGUGUUUUUAGGACCUCCGUCGUGUACACAUAUGAUUAAAGGUGACGGAAAUUGUCUGUUUAGGGCUUUGUCUUAAUCUUUGUGUGGAGAUGAGGAGUAUCAUGGGUAUAUAAGAAAUGUUAUUGUAUCUUACUUGUCCUUUGACAAACAUGGUAAAAACAUUGUACCGUAUGGAAAUUACUUGCAAGAUUCAAAAAUGCAGGAAAAUCAAGUGUGGGGAACAGACACGGAGAUUUUAGCUGCUGCAAGAUUUUUAUGUCUACACAAAAUAUGGCAAUAAUUAUGACUGGGUCAUCUUCAACCCGGCCAACGGAGAACUAAGGUUGACGGUGCGAUUUAUCUUCACCACAAGGAUGAAUGUCAUUAUGACGUGGUUACAUCCGUUUGUACCGGAAACGAAUUUCACUCACCACUUUCCACAUCCACUCCACGAAAAACACUGAUCGAUGGAACGAAUAGAAAUUUAAAGGAACCAUCUUAUGUUGAGAACGAGUAUGAAAUAUCAGAUCGAGAUGUCAGCAUUAACAACUCUAGUUUUGAAGAUGCUCUAAAUAAUUUCAAAUUACCAGCACCCACUCUAAGAAGAAAGAAAUCAGUCUUACACUCCAAGGCACUCCAAACAACAAAAAAAGUUGUUACAUUCAGUUGUUCAAACCAAUGCAUGAAGCGUGUGACAGAAGAUGAUAUUUCAAGAAUGAGGAAUAAAUUUUGGACAAAACCUUUUGAAAAUAGAGUAGAAUAGUUCAUGGACAAAGUGGUUGAAAGUGUAGACAGUUUAGGCAGAGUGAAGUGGUUGUCUUUCGUGAUUGAGAGAGGAAAGAAGGUGUGCGGUACUUGUUUUUGCAAAUUAUACAGAAUAGAUAAGAACUUUUAUUAUAAGUAUCUCAAGAAGGCUCAACAGGGUAAACAUUCUGCCAGUGUAAGAUAUACCAGAUCAUAUUCUGAAUCAAGGAAUCUGGCCGAUACAUGGUUAGACUGUUAUGCCUUUUAUCAUGCAGACAUAUUUCUUUAACGCUGUAUUUCAUUUAGAGAAAAAUGAAAGCUGGUUGUACUGAAAAGCACGUGAAGGGAUGUUCCCCUAUGUAUGGCUAUACUGUAUAUGCCAUUUGAAACUCGAAUUGUAAGGGUUUCAUGCAUACCACGAUGUUAAAUAUUAUAUAUUUUGAAAUGAUUUUGUUAAAUGAGACGCGGGGGAUCUUCCCCUAAAUAUGGCUCUACUGUAUGUGCUAUUUGAAAUUCGCUUCCUGAAUUUUAUAUGCACACCUAGACGUUGUGUACUAUUUAAAGAAAAAUUAAAAGUGAUUUUUGUGAAAAGGACGAUGGGGAAAUUUCCCCGAUCUAUGGCUAUAGGUAUGUGUCAUUUAAUACCUGAGUAGUUUGUUUAUUAUGCCUGCCAAUUUGUUUAUUAUGCCUGCCAAGAGGUUGUUCGAUAUUUAAAGAAAAAAAAGAAGGUGAUUUUGCGAAAAGGGACAUGGGGGGAUGUUACCCUAUCUAUAGCUCUGCUGUAUGUGAAAAAUGAAAAGUGAUUUUGUUAAAAGGGACGUAGGGGGAUGUUACCCUAUCUAUGGCUCACUGUAUGUGAAAAAUGAAAAGUGAUUUUGUUAAAUGGGAAGUGGGGGGAUGUUACCCUAUCUAUGGCUCUACUGUUUAUGUUAUUUGAUGUGGGGGAAUGUUCCCCUUUCUACAAAUAAAUUGUAUGUGACAUUAAAAACCCGAGUUGUUAGUUUGUUAUGCCUACCACGAGGUAGUUUAAUAUUUAAAGAAACAUGAAACGUGAUUUUGUGGGGGGAUGUUACCC
rnacentral:lncRNA from 1 species